rnacentral:lncRNA from 1 species
CGCCCAAUUUUCUGACUUUUUUUUUUUUUUUUUUUUUUCCUGAGACGGAGUCUCACUCUGUCGCCCAGGCUGGAGUGCAGUGGCACGAUCUCUACUCACUGCAACCUCCGCCUCCCAGGUUCAAGUGAUCCUCCUGCCUCAGCCUCUUGAGUAGCUGGGACUGCAGGUACUUGCCACCAUGCCCGGCUAAUUUUUUGUAUUUUUAGUAGAGAUGGGGUUUCACCACGUUGGCUAGGCUGGUCUCGAACUCCUGACUGAAAGUGACUUGCCUGCCUCUGCCUCUCAAAGGCAUGAGUCACAGCCUAAUUUUCUUAAUGGUGUUUUGUUUUUGUCUCAUUAAAAGAGUCAAAGUAAACCUGUUCCAAAGAAAGGGCAUCUCUACCAAGUUGGGGCUAAUUCCCAGAUGAGGAGACAUUGCCGAUCUGUGACGUUUACCAUAAUAGCUCUGGAAGUUUGGCUGAGGACCAUGAGCACCCUACAAUCUGGCUUCAGUCCUUCAUUUGGGUCUCUGUCCCUCUGUCUCCACCCAGACCAUCCAUGGUGGCCACACACAAGUCCUCUCCUUCCUAAAGUACCUUGAAAGUACCCUGCACAUUCCUGCACUGCACCUGAGCAUUUUAAAUAAACAAAAUCGGAAAUGCUCUUUCUACUCCUCCUUUCUCUCUCUCCCAGCAACUAAUCUGGUUAAACAAAUCUAUGCUGGUAGAAAGUUAAGUGUUAAGCACAGCAAUUGCUGGGUGCUGAGAAAGGGGAUAAAUUUAGCUUAUUUAUGUAUUACCAUAUUUUCCAGCACCUUCUCCCAUUUAAAGGCCUCCUUCCGAGCUGCACACAUAGACUCCAGACUGGCUUUUACCUGAUGGGGUAUCACCCUUUGCUUACCUCCUGAAAAUGUUAAUUUAGUGAAGAACCUGGUGGUUUCUUGAUUCGGUAGAGUAGGAAGGUCACAACAUCACCCGUGAUUAUUCUUGCCAAAACGAUGUCACCUGAAUCUAAUUGAGGCCUAACUUCCAGCUUACAGUAAAUAUGGAGCAUGAAGGAUGCCAGGUGCAAACAAUCAGACAAAUGGAGCCUGUGGGAGGCUGGCAGAGACUGUUGCUGGCUACCAGCAGCCAUCUGCGGCCCACUUACUCCUUGCCCACCUCCCUGUAAAGCAGCUGAAAGGCCUGGUCCUUGGUUUCAGCUAAGGGUGAAUCAUGAGCUCACGGUGAUCAUCAGACCCCACCCCCCUGGACAAUGAGAAGUAACAGGGACUCUGCUGGAUUGCUUCUUGGAAAGAUUUCCCUCCUUGAUAAAAGGUAAAAGGCACACAGGGAGACCCCUGUAGCCCCAUCCCAUUUUCUUCCUGACAGAGACACUGUCCUGGGAGCAUAUGGUGUGCGGAUCUAUGACAACUGUUUUACAUCCAUCAGGGGAAACGUGGCAGACACACUGAGUGUAUUGGUUACCCAUUGCUUCAUGACGAUUUACCCUGAAACAUGGCACUUUCAAACAAUAAGCAUGUAUUACCUCACACCAUUUUUGAGGGUCUGGAAACUGCAAGUGGCUUAGCAGGUGGUUCUCGCUCUUGUCUCUCAAGGUUGCAUUCAGGCUGAUAGCCAGGGGUGCAGUCAUCUCAAGGCUCGUUGGAGCUAAAGAACCCACUUCCAAACUCACCCUUCUGGUUGCCAGUGGGUAUCAGUUCUUGGUCAAUGUUGACAAAAGCUUUAGUGCCUCAUCAAGUGGGCCUCUCUAUUGGGAGCCAACUUUCUUGGCAGCUGACUUUCUUCAGUGAGAGAUGAAGAGAGUGAGAGAGAGAAUGAGGGAAGGAGAGUGUGUGAGCCCAAGAUGGGAGCUGCAGCCUUUUUAUAACCUAACCUCUGAUGUAAUCUCAGCUAUAUUCUAUUGGUCACACAGACCAGCCCUGGUAAAAUGUAGGAAAAGUGUGAAUACCAGAGGGUGGGUAUUAUCAAGGGCAAAUUUGAAGGCUGGCUAAGGCAUCAAAAAUCGUAUAAGAGAAAGCAAGAAAAACCCUGGGUCCUUGAUGAGAUUCUUGUGUGACUGCACCAACCCCCACACCAUUUGUGUGUGUGCUUCCUAUGAUGACAGAUAACUCAAUGUCUUUGUUUUUAGUCACUGUUCCCUUGAUAUUUGCUGCUGAAAACCUCAUGGCCAGUGCAAGAGCUCUUAAAUAUUUCUAGUAAAAUGUAGCCCUUAUUUUGAGAAGAAUGAAUGAAAUAUGCCCUUUGCUUUUAGUAAAACCUUUGAACAUCCUUUUGCAGUCUCUACUUGGAUCUUGCUCCUCUCUCAAUGCCCAGGGCUAUCCUGUGCCCCAGAAGGAGAGAAAUGAUAAUCCAGGUCACACAAGCAGCCACUUCUGUCUGUCUACCAAUGGCCCAGAGAGGUCUCAGCCCCUGAGAGGGGCCUGAAUCCAAGGCUCAGAGUUAAGUAGACCCAAUGGCCACAAUAACAAAUUCCUGGUUGAGAAAGCCAGGUCCAUCCCUACAGCAGCCUGCAAGGACUUUUAAACUCCACUCCAGUUAAGAUGGCCCAUUCUUUUCUUUUUCUGUUUUUUGUUUUUUUUUUUGUUUGUUUGAGACAGGGUUUUCCUCCGUCGCCUAUGCUGGAAUGCAGUACUGUGAUCAUAGUUCACUGC